rnacentral:siRNA from 1 species
CCAGUUAUUGUAGCAGCGAUCCUC